GAGGAAGAUAAUGACGGUACUCAACAAGGAAGUGACGGCUAACUACGUGCCAGCAGCCGCGGUAAAACGUAGGUCACAAGCGUUGUCCGGAAUUACUGGGUGUAAAGGGAGCGCAGGCGGGAAGACAAGUUGGAAGUGAAAUCUAUGGGCUCAACCCAUAAACUGCUUUCAAAACUGUUUUUCUUGAGUAGUGCAGAGGUAGGCGGAAUUCCCGGUGCAGCGGUGGAAUGCGUAGAUAUCGGGAGGAACACCAGUGGCGAAGGCGGCCUACUGGGCACCAACUGACGCUGAGGCUCGAAAGUGUGGGUAGCAAACAGGAUUAGAUACCCUGGUAGUCCACACCGUAAACGAUGAUUACUAGGUGUUGGAGGAUUGACCCCUUCAGUGCCG
rnacentral:rRNA from 1 species